UAACUUUUCUACAUAAUUUUACAGUUAUUAUCUAAAUUUUAAAAAAAAUAUUUACUUAUUAUCUCCAAGAUUAUAAGAGAUUUUUUUAAUGCUAUAUACUUAGAGCCAAAAAAAAAAAAAAAAAAAAGCUGAGAGAAAACUUAAAAGGGAAAAGAACAAAAGCGGGAAAAUCAAAACGCCAAAAAUUUCAGCAAAAAGAAAGAGGGAAUCUUUUCCACUUCUUUUUCCGCAAAAACCUUUCCACUCUUCUUCACUGAUCCAUUCCAUUUUCACGAAAAGAACUGAAAAAAGACAAGACUACGAACAGAGAGAAGCUAAGAUUGAAGUUGCAACAUAUUCAAUUGGUAUCUAGAAGCUUUUCUUUGAGAUCUUCCCCCAAACCCCUUUCUAUCAAUCCACACCAGGAAGUUUCUCUUGGUAGACCACCCACCCGUCAUAAGGUUUGGAAGAAGACCCAUACGAAAAUCGAAGACGGAAAAGAAGUUUGGGUCUCGCCAUGGGCAGAGGAUACCUAUGUAUGCUCUAAAAUUACUUGGAAUAUAUUUGGCCAAUAAUAUUAUUUUAUGGUUCCUGGAGGUACUUCCUAGAUUAUCUCCUCGUCUUGGUGUUGAGGCAAACUAGAGCAAUGCUUGAUUUUUGAAUCGAUGUAAUCUGGAGAGGAUGUAGAGGUGAGGUGACCAGAAGCAUGGAGACGAUGAAGAUCAGGAGAAUAGACAGCAUCGAGAGGCAGAAAUGGAGUAUUAGGUGUCAAUUGUUAUUUUUUUCAAACUUCUGUUAUUUUGGAUCGUUUGAAGUCUAGUGGGAUGCUUUUGAUAUAUUUUGCAUAACGUCGAAGUUGGUUGGAUAAUUACGAUGUUUGUUGGCUUAAUUUUAAUGCUUGAAUCAUUUUAGAGUAUUUUUAUUAUUGUUUUGA